CCCGCUCCUCUCGAUUCCUAUCCCCACGACGUACGACAUCCUUCGCCGCCGCCCCAUCUCCGAUCUCCCUUCGCUGCCGCCCUCGCACUCGCAUCAAGUCGUCGCCGAUCCCUGCGCUACCUCGACGGGAGCCAUCACAAAUCCAUCCCUUCGCCGCCGCCUUGCGCCACCACUCCUAUGACGCCGUCUCCCGCCAGUCUCCACCAGCACCGUGACGUGCGUGGCCUCCACACGCGCCGUCACCGCCCCUCGAGAUAUUGAGCAAGUUUUUUAGUCUUUGAUAGAAACUGAACAAGUUUCUCAUGAUUUUUUUAUAUACUUCAAGCCUACUGCUCAUCCAGCUCUAUGUGCAGUUUGGAGAUAUGCUUUAUUGAUCAUGCAACCUCCUUCUUUUCUCAUCCCUUUUAUAUUUUUAUUUCAAAUACUCUGUGUUAGCAAAAUCCUGUUGCAUGACUAGACCAACUAUCUGGUGAUUCAAGCACUAGAUUAGUGAUUGGGGCAAUGGUCAGACCUGCUUGCAUGAAAAAAGGGCAAUUUUGAUGUGCUUGCAGGAGCUCAGAACUCACCUAUUGAUGACUCACCUUGGAAACUGUUUUUCUAAAGGCUGACAAGGCGACAGAUGCGGGGCCUUCUUCAGUUUCAAGUCACACAUGCCAUCGUUGUCCAGUGCCGCCCUGGACUAGCAGCUUGUCGCCUACACCUCAAUACAAUACCCAGAAGUGCAUCCGCGCUGGCAGCAAGCACAAGGACCUCGACGCCAUGGGAAACAAUACUCCUUGAUGGGAACUAGACCUUCAGGUAUGAUGGGAGCUUCGAAGAGGAAGCCAGCGGAUAUUCAUGGGAGCUCCUCGUCAAAGUGAGGGAUUUAGUAUAGAAAGCUACUUUACAAGUAGUCUCAAGCUGGAGGAUAACAGAUUGGUCGCGAUGUUAGGGAUCCCCAUCAAUGUUAUACUAUUUGUCUCCAGUACCAUGGCAGAGGUUUCUUUUGUGCAUGGAUUUCCAAGCGCUCUGGCAGUCAUUGGUGGAAGCGUGGGUUUUAGUUGGCCAACAUUCAUCUUUUAGGCGCUGUGUUUAUGUAGAGAAUUUUACUUAACAGGUCUGGAUGGCAUCUUUUGUCAAAACAAAAUCAUGUUUGUUUUUAUAUAUUUUCCGCCUGACGCGUAAAGUGUUCCAUUAUUGUUUUCUUUUGGGGAAAUAAUUAUGCUUUAGGAUGAACUGGUUUAGUUCCUUUUUAUGUUGCUAAAACCCUAUAGCUUGCUUUUAUGUAGAAGUCCCUGGAUGAACUUUCAGAAAUCUUUAUUGUCAGGCCACAUUGGUACUGAGCUUUCUUGCAAAGGUGCUAUGUUCUAACUGUGGUGUAUAUAGUUGUAUAGUUUAUACUGAAAGCUGCGUUCUUGUCAGGCCACAAUAGUUGUAUAGUUUAGAUCAUACCUUGAGUUAGUUUUGUGCUUGUGGAAGGGCAGCGUCGAUUGCAAGACGGCUGGGUUCAGCUUCAUUAAUAUAGCACCAUCUUCACAAUACUGUACAUUAUAUUCUUAGAAUAUUUUUUGCACUCUAAUAGUUUGGCCUUUGAAGUAAAAUACACUUAGUAGUUUUAAAUUUCAAGUGGCAUGGCUUACAAUAUGUAAGUGGGUUUUCCACACUUGUAACAUGAGAGAAUCUGCAUAGAUCUCAAGGUUGUCAUUCGUGGCUGAGACAAUGUUUUUAAAUCAAGGGACCCGCACUUCGUCAUUAUCUAAAUUGCGCUUGAUUAUUUUCCUACAAGGAUCUGCACUUCGUCAUUACCUAAGCGCAUCAGUUAGAAGAGAAGUUAGAGCUGACGGGAGUGGUGCCAACAGUUUCCACAAUAAUCGUCUGACAGAUAAAUAUAUAUCUUCUCAUUUUUCAGAUUUUGUUGUUCAAUUCAGUUAAAUCUACUAGCUUACUGGUUGUGGUAUAACUAUUUCUAGAAUUUACAAUGUGGUUUCCGUGCCUAUUGAUUUAACUUGAUGAGAGAAAAAUGACUUCUUGGGUUCACUGUUCACUCUACAUAGUGGUUGUAACUUUUUUGCUUCUGAAGUGUCAAAGGAUACAAAAAUCAGGAUGAUAUAUUAGGCUGAGACAAUGUUUCUAAAUCAAGAGACCUGCACUUCUUCAUUAUCUAAAUUGCGCUUGAUUAUUUCUGCCCAGCAAUAUCAAGAUGAGGAUACAAGCAUAUCAAGUGUACAAGACGUGUAGUCUCCUCAUGAAGGUGGCUGAGCUAUGAAUUUGCUCUUGGUAUAUUUACCUAUGCUGGAUAUGGGGUCAGAUCUUUGGUAUGCAAGUGAAUGCAUAUGGAACAAUGAUUGCACAUAUUACAGUAAGCUAUAUUCUCUUCACAUUUAUGCAUAUUCUUGUUGGGACAAAAAAAGUGGUUAUAAUAAGCAGAUUCUUGUUGGGACCAAAAAAAGUGGUUAUAAUAGGCAGAUAUAUUUCUUCCCAUUUACACAUAUUCUUGCUGGGAGAGAAAAACAAAGCAGUGAUAAUAUGCAGUUUUACAUAAGCUUAUGUCUUGCAAACUAGCUAGAACCGAAAACUGAUGAUUAUUGCUUGUUUUCUGACUUCUGUUGCAGAAUGUGAAAGCUUAUUACCCACAUAAAACAAGUAGGUGUUAUGAAGUCCUUGUAUGCCUAAUUAUUGUUGUUGUAGUUGUCAUACAUGCGUAACAAUCUGUGACAAACACAC